GGUUACUGGACUAAACUGGCUGUUCGGCUGCAGGAAGUGACGUAGCAUGACGUCACGGACCACCACGCCAGUUGCAACCAGAAAGAAUGAUGCGAGUUAUGAACAUCUUCCCCCGCCUGGCCAACAGGCAAGGUGAACAAAAUGUCCGGCCGGCUCAGAUCAGCUCUGCAUCUUCCUCGUCCUCCUCAGUCGGGUGAACGGUGACGCUGGGGCCAAGACAAACAGAGAGGCCGGCUCCCCGCUGCUGCUCUGGAUGUGUUAAUCCAGACCCUUCUUCGCUUUUUCCAAACAGAAUUCCACCUUUUUUGUGUGUGUGUGUGACACAGCUUUUAUUUGUAUUGCUUUGGUUGCAUCAGAGAGAUGAGGCCUGGGAAUUCAGCAAUGUCAACUUAGUAUUGGACAGUGGGAUCUGACUGGUUUCAGGUCUAAAUUUUGAUCUGUUUAAGAUCUUUCAGGGGGAAAAACAAAUUAGUCAAACCUUCUUGGUAGAUUUCCGAGCAAGGUAAAAUCAUUUGUUUCAAUUAUUCAUGGACAUUCCUCCCUCUGACCCUCUGGGUCAUGUUUUUGGGAAGAACGAGGCGUUAGGUCACAAUAGUAGCUACUGCUGAUAUCAGCAAUUGCUUUGUUACGUCUCAUCAGCUGUUUCCACGUUAUUUUCCCCUCAAACAUAUGAGUUACUAUCGGAAAUGUAACAGGGAGGAGUUCUGUGUGACCCCGAUCUUUUCCCUGCUUACUGUAUUGUUUAGUUAUCAGCUCUUAAAGUCCCUCCCCCAGUUAAAAAUGAUCAAGUAUGUUGUUCUCUAAUCUUUUAUAAAGCCCCUGAGCCAGCAGACAGACGUGGAGGCCUAAUGAAUAAUGGAGACGACGAACAAGCUCUGGCCGUCCUGUCUGGGUCUUAUCUGCUCCGCCGGACCUUUUACCAGUCCAGCCCUGAUAAUCCAGGAUGACCGGCAAAAUACAGGAUGUGAUGCGAUAACCUUA